CACCUCUCAGGGUCACACCUGGAGAGUUUCCAGUACUUCUACCAGUCUCAGCUAUGGAAGGGAGAGUCAAGCAGAGGCCUACCCAUUCCAUUCCUAGCUAGGCCAGUGUCUAGUGAGGGGAAAACAAUCUGCUACAAGU
rfam:Ornithorhynchus anatinus chromosome X1, whole genome shotgun sequence.